rnacentral:rRNA from 1 species
GACAGAGGGUGCAAACGUUGUUCGGAAUUACUGGGCGUAAAGCGCGUGUAGGCGGCCAUCUAAGUCGGGCGUGAAAUCCCACGGCUCAACCGUGGAAGUGCACUCGAAACUGGAUGGCUAGAGUCCUGGAGAGGAAGGUGGAAUGCUUGGUGUAGAGGUGAAAUUCGUAGAUAUCGGAAGGAACACCAGUGGCGAAAGCGGCUUCCUGGUCCAGCACCGACGUUCAGGCACGAAAGCGUGGGGAGCAAACAGG